AAGUCGUAACAAGGUUACCUUCUGCAGCUAAGCACGGAGACCUUGCACAGGACUAUAAACAGUGCAAGUUGGCUUCGGCCAGCAACACAAUCGAAUUGCGGGGACGUCUUAAAGCCUGUAGCACCUCCCGUUAGUGAAAGCUGACGGUAUGGUAAGAGUCUACAGGAUGUACAAUAGACUAUCCGCAGCGAAGACCCUAAGGCGUAUGCUAUGGGUAUCGUUCACAGACUAAGUGAUUGUGGGAGGGUUACCCUUCUAAGAUAUAGUCGGUUACAGUGGGAAACCUCUGUAUUUAUAGCGUCCGUAGGUGAACCUGCGGAAGGAUCAUUAAAAAUGAAGCCGGGAAACCGGUCCUUCUAACCCUUGAUUAUCUUAAUUUGUUGCUUUGGUGGGCCGCGCAAGCACUGGCUUUGGCUAGUUAGUGCCCACCAGAGGACCACAACUCUGUAAUAAAUGUCGUCUGAGUACUAUAAAAUAGUUAAAACUUUCAACAACGGAUCUCUUGGUUCUGGCAUCGAUGAAGAACGCAGCGAAAUGCGAUAAGUAAUGUGAAUUGCAGUAUUCAGUGAAUCAUCGAAUCUUUGAACGCACAUUGCGCCCUCUGGUAUUCCGGAGGGCAUGCCUGUUCGAGCGUCAUAAUGACCAAAUCACCCUAUGGUGGACUUGGAGCUGGCCGUCUAGCCUCUCUCAAAAUUAGUGGCGGUGCUCUUAAAGCUCUACGCGUAGUAAUUUUCUCGCUAUAGGGUCUUACUAGUACUUGCCAACAACCCCAACUUUCUAAGGUUGACCUCGGAUCAGGUAGGGAUACCCGCUGAACUUAAGCAUAUCAAUAAGCGGAGGAAAAGAAACCAACAGGGAUUACCUCAGUAACGGCGAGUGAAGCGGUAACAGCUCAAAUUUGAAAUCUGGCUCUUUCAGGGUCCGAGUUGUAAUUUGUAGAAGAUGCUUUGAGCAUUGCUCCGGUCUAAGUUCCUUGGAACAGGACGUCAUAGAGGGUGAGAAUCCCGUAUGUGACUGGUGGCAUUUGUUCGUGUAAAGCUCUUUCGACGAGUCGAGUUGUUUGGGAAUGCAGCUCAAAAUGGGUGGUAUAUUUCAUCUAAAGCUAAAUAUUGGCCAGAGACCGAUAGCGCACAAGUAGAGUGAUCGAAAGAUGAAAAGCACUUUGGAAAGAGAGUUAAACAGUACGUGAAAUUGUUGAAAGGGAAGCGCUCGCAACCAGACUUGCAGGUCGUUGAUCAUCCGGGGUUCUCCCCGGUGCACUCGGCGGCUUUCAGGCCAGCGUCGGUUUGAGUGGUGGGAUAAAGGCCUUGGGAAUGUGGCUCCUCUCGGGGAGUGUUAUAGCCCAAGGUGCAAUGCCGCCUACUCGGACCGAGGACCGCGCUUCGGCUAGGAUGCUGGCGUAAUGGUUGUAAGCGACC
rnacentral:rRNA from 1 species